UCUGUUCUCUCGUUCGUCUCGCUCUGGAUCAGCCUGGGCUCUAAGAAAAGAGGCUCAGAGCUAAAGGCCUAGUAUCGUAUUUAAGGAAACUAGGGCAGAUUGUUAAAAAACAUAACAAUUUUAAUCUUAAAAUAUUGUACAGCGGACCGUUUUUGGAGAUACAUCCGGUGCCUGUUAAGUUUGCUUUUUUCUUUAAGUACAUUUUUGGAUCUUUGGGACUUAAUCGCAAGCAUCGGAGUUGACUACGACGGAUAGCCGUGCGGAGGUGGGGGAGUAUCGGCGUGGCGCUUAGGAAACCCUGGGGGAAGCCUGAACUGUUCAUUUAAGGCUUAUUUUUUGACAUAACUGGAUUAUUUUCACAAAUUGGUGUUAUGAAUUUGAUCUCUUUCCGAUUUUAUGAAUGACUUAUUGAUGGGUUUCUUGUAUUUUUACAUAAAUGGAACGCAUUCUUUUAGGCCACGGCUUAAGGUACAUCAGAAAAGCAAUGGUUUUUGGCGCUUGUGUUACUUAAAAUGACGGUUCGUGUCAUCGCAUAACAAUUGAAAUUGCCCAAAAAUGACAUGUAUAUGACUCAACUACACCUCCGCAGCAGGUCUGAAUGGAAAAACAUCACUGAGGCCAAGAUGACAGAUAAAAAUCACAUCUACGGGUCUGAAGGAGGGGCCACGUCAGGCAGGAGAGGCAGUCAGACGCAGAGCAUGGUAGAAGAAGCAGAAUGAGACAAAAUCUGAUUUAUUCUGAAUGAAAAGUCCAGAACGGCAACCGAGAUCUGCUAGCUUUAGAGAAAUAAAAAAGCUCACACUUUCAUUUUUUUUAUUUUUAUGAAUGGAUGUAACUUUCUCCAAAAGCAUUAAAACAGGUUUGUGCUCCUGAGAUUGUGUAAUGUUUUUGUUUUGUAGCUCUUUGUCUGAAACCACUUCCACACGCUGAAAGAGGAACGGUUUGUUUGGGUUAAGCGCCAGGCUGCUGUUUUGCAAUAUGAAAGCGUGACGCGGGGUUGGAGGCAUGUUUCUUAGAGCUCACGGGAACAGGCCAGCCUUCCGGAGCCAUGAGGGAAUGUCCUGUUCUCUGGGUGUUUGUUUUGGCUGAUGUCAGCCGCCGCCGCCGAGCGUCUUCUUCUUCUUCCUUUCAUCCUUCCCCGUCAAUAUCCAAACGGCCCUUUGAAGCCCUCCUCGUUCUCAGGACCCUUUUCUUUUUGUUUUUUUUUCCCCUCGCUGGCUCGUUUGCAGGAAUCAGGAAACGUUGUUGAGCCGCCUUGCAAUAUGGCGGAGUAUUCGCCAUGAAUUUUUAUCUUUUUAAAAGUCCUCCAAUCAUUUCCUGGAACUAUCUGGGUGCUAAAUUAAUUCCUCCUGAUCCCAAACUCACCCUGCAAUCAGCUUAGUGCUAAUCUCGGGCUCUUACAGUGCAGCCAACUCUUGUCUGGGCAACACUGCUGCACUGAGCUCUCCUCUGUUCUCAUUUUACAAGGUUUUGACCCUUGGCACCAUCUGUCCUGCUCCCACUCUGUCAUUCCUUUCUCAUUCAAGCAGCAGGAAAGCUUCUUUUUUACGCUUGUCCUAGUGAAUCGUCUUGCUUUAUCUUCUUUUUUGUUCGAACCUUGUGUUUUUUGUCCUUAUUCAGGAAUUCCUCACUGCUUUCAGAACUCCAACCAUCCGUGUACUCUCUCUGAUUCUCUUUCUACACUUUAAUCUUCCCCUUCUUGUUGUUUUGCCCAUCGGUAAAGCUCAGAAAUCUUGUCUCUGGUGUCUUUUUUUCUUCUGUUUUUACUUUCUCCGCUGAUUUCCUUUGGCACGAUGCCUGCUACGUUUGCUUCGCUUUGUUUGUCUUCUUGCUUUCAGUCCCCCCCCCCACCACCUUUUUUCUUUUGAAGUCAGUCAUCAAUUUGUGAUUUUGUGUUUGAUUUCAGCGUCACAGUCCCUUUGUGUCACUCUGCUUCCUGCGAGCUUCGCUCAGAUUACCCUUCCUUCCAGAGGGCUGUCACUGAAGUGCUAUUUAAAGAGGCGUGCAGAAGAGCAAGGCUUGUUUACAGCGCCUUCAAACUACAGGCUGUUUAGAAACAGGAAGUCCCGUCACCUCAAAGGACAGCAGCCACUUCCUCCACCUCCUCCUCCUCCUCCUUAUGACUGAGAAGUGGCUCCAGUAAAAACAACCCUGGAGCUUAUCAGAGAAUUAUUCGCCCCUCCCCUCCAUGGUCCACACACACAGCAGGCUUUUCAGCCCUCCACCGUGUCCUAUGUGGCUUUCUCCUUUUCUCCCAUGCCCACAGACCUCCUCUCUUUCCAACUGUCACCCCUUUGCCAGGACAGCAUGCCUGAGUAGCUGCCUGGAGAUGAAGGAGCUAAUUAAUUUGAUUUAGCCAUACCCUCUCUCUUUCUCUCUACCUCUUUCUCUCUCUUUCUCCGUCUCUGUGUCAGUGGAAAAACCAGCCGGCCGCCCUCCUCCACACCGUAUCAACCAGUCCCCUCCCAGAUAAUUUUCCACCUAUCCUUUCUAGUCUCCUUUGGCAACAUCCGCUCUCUAAACCUUCCCUAUUCCCCUCCCCUUGUUUUCCUUCCUGUUACACAACCACAUUUUGCCAGCGGGUUGCUGCCAGCCAGACUGCUUCACUCCCAACACCCAGGGGCGUAGCUAUGUACUAUCUCAGGUGUAUGCUCACAUUAUAACACCCCGCCUACCCCCUGUAGGGAUUCAAUGCUCAGGUGAAUAAAUCUCACUUAGUCAUGGAUUCAUAAGAAGGAAAUCUUGUAAUACUAUAUGCUAUUAUACACUGAUAAUAUCAUUUACACAUGCACAAACAGCUGUUAAAUAGAGAAAAUGGCGACCAAAAGCAAUAUAUUUUGCCCAUUGCUUUGGCGCCCCCUCUGGUGGCGCCCCUAUGACGCCCGCACCCGUCUAUAUUCUGCUUUUCAUACAUUGUCCUCUCUAUUACCUCUGGUAAUAGAGAGGACUCGCUCGCUGUAGUUCACCGACUCAGGCGACCUGAAAGCGGGCAUGUGAGCCUCCGGUGGAUUAAACCUCCCGUGUGUCACUUGAUACGUCGAUGGAUCCGCCUUCCGCGUUAUAAUCAGGCAAGUCUAGAAUAGCUGUGUAACGGUCUAACAGCACCGUUACACAGCUAUCAGGUGACUGGAUGAAAACCCUUUCUGUGCCUCCAGCAGGCCUUUGGGAUCCACUCAGACCAGUUUUAAGCGCAGAUGUUUCCAUCCCUCACUGUUUAUCUGCAGGGUUCAACCAGCUAACCCCUAGCAUUUUUUUUGUGAGGCUUAUGAUUCUCUGACGGCUUAAAAACUUGAAACACCUCUGUAUGCUAAUUAUCUCAAGGUAGUUUAUGUUUUCAUAUUCUAUUUUGUUGCUCUUUAACCCAAAGAUGAUUUAAUUGCGAUUCCCAGUGGAGUCAUCAUUGCUAUCUUAAGGAAUAUAGCCAUAAAACAGAGGUUGUUUGUAUAUUUAUAAAAGGUAAAAUGUGAUGUAUGCAGUAAUU